GAUGAACGCUGGCAGAAUGCUUAACACAUGCAAGUCAUUGGCGAAGCUGCGCUUGCGCAGUCUAGCCAAGGCGGACGGGUGAGUAACGCGUAAGGAACUUGCCCUGCAGACAGGGAUAACAGACGGAAACGACUGAUAACACCUGGUAUUGUCAGGCUGGCGCAUGCCGGCCUGAUGAAAGGAGACGCUGCAGGAGAGCCUUGCGUCCUAUUAGCUAGUUGGUGGGGUAACGGCCCACCAAGGCGAUGAUAGGUAGCCGGCCUGAGAGGGUGAACGGCCACAAGGGGACUGAGAUACGGCCCUUACUCCUACGGGAGGCAGCAGUGGGGAAUAUUGGACAAUGGGGGCAACCCUGAUCCAGCAAUUCUGUGUGCACGAAGAAGGUUUUCGGAUUGUAAAGUGCUUUCAGCAGGGAAGAAGAAAGUGACGGUACCUGCAGAAGAAGCGACGGCUAAAUACGUG
rnacentral:rRNA from 1 species